GAGAGGCGCCCCUGGGCGCUCGGGUUGGCCAGAACCGCCUCCCGCCGCGACCUUCCGCAAGGUCUUCUAGAUUCCUGCUAUGAGUGAGACCAUCCGGCAUUUUUCUUUUUCUUUCUGGCUUAUUUCGUUGAGGAUGAUCCCUUCCAGCUCCAUCCAUGUUGCUUCAAAUUGUUCCCAGCUUCCUAGGACCUGCUUCAGAACCACUUUCCCAUGGCCCCCUGCCAGAAGGUGCCUUAAACUUGUGGCAAGUUUUCAGACCUCAGCGACUAUGCUUCAAGCCAACCCUAUUUGGCUGGACAUUCACCUACAGGAGAACAGCUCCAUGCAGGAGGCCCUGAGCAGCCUACUGGUGCCUGACACAGUGUGAUGCUAGGUGUCCUCUCACCGCCCUUUGUGUUGAAGAUGAAAGCAGCAGAGACAACUCAGGUCAGUGCCACAGAGGACUGAUCUGUGUGGUCCCACCCACCAAUUUUCUAAGGCGUCAAUCCACAAAAUACUGGUCCCCAGGGAAAUCCCUCCUGCCAGUCAAAUUCGCCCUUUCCCACAGCAGUUAUCCUCUGUUGUCCUCGGAAGAGGAAACCUGACAGUUGAAACUCCCACCCAGGGAAGUGAGAGCCUGGGUCUCCACACCUCCACAACUGGAUCUCAAGUUGUAGAAGGAACUCUCACACACCUUCCGUGACACCUAGUUGUCCCUAGGAGACAGCAGCUGGCUUCUGAUAAAUAAAAGAAAAGAGAAAACGAGCAUGGAGCCAUCCUGAGUCUGGGUAACAAGUACAGGGAGCCAGGAAGCUGUUGAAAGUCAGGUCCCAGGCACUUCCAGGCACCCAGGCUUCUUGGGAAGUGCACAGAGGAAAUGAAAGCAAGAAGCCAAGAAGAAAAGAAAUCACACUGCAAGUUAACACCCAGGAUUUAAAUUCAACAAAUCACAGACUUUCUGCCAAAUGGAACUGCACUGACUGAAAAUCUCAUUUGCAUAAAGCAGGCCUAGCCCCACCCUUUUUGCCUACAGUAGCAUGGUCCCUCAUUCAACACAAGGAACUCUUUGGGUUUGUAUUUCCCGGAACUGCUGUCCUGAAACCCUGAAUAAAUGUGCUGUAAUAUGAAUGCAGUAGCCCAAGAGACAGUCCUCUCCUUCCUCAUUGAGAGGGCAGAGGCCCAGUUGGAAACUUGGACCAGGGUUGGGGCACAGACCUCACUCCCCCUGCACUCUGCUUGCUUCUCUGUGCCCCUCCCCCAAAUCAGUGUUCCUGACAAAGCCCCUUUUUGUCACCCUGAUCAUGUCCCUGUCCUCAUCUCUGCCCCUCUCAGCCUUGGUUUGCCUCUGUCCCACCUGCCCCUGGGUGCAGUUCUUGAGGACAUGGCAGCAGGGACUGGCCAAAGUUCCCAGACUCUAGUUAGGCCUGGGUAGAUCUCACUAAUGAACUACUGAGUCAAUUCCAGCCAACAAACAUAAUCAAUCAAGGCCCACUCUGAGCCCAGCCCUGUUCUAUGUCCUGCUGGAACACCCGUAGCCUGGCCAGCCCCUGAGGGGAGGCAGAGCUGAGAACCCACAAUAGCAGUCUGUUGAUUACACAGAAAAGACACCUAAUGAAUAGGUAAGGGGUGUGGGGAAGAAGAGAAGAAAUCAAGGCAGCCAGCCCUGCUACGCCACACUACAUCAGAAGCAGGACUCUGCGAGCAAGUGACAACGGGAGGGGCGGGGGUCUUAUCCAGCAAGCUAUUCCAGAGUCAAAGCCAUUUUCCCUCAUUCGAUUCACAAACAAGGAGAAUCCGCAAGUGACGGGACACAGGUCCAAGAGCUGUGCAACAGCGCCACCCUGAGGUACCAAGUCCUGAUUUCAGCAAACCCCCCAGAGCAAAACCAAAAAGCCACUGUACAUUGUGACAAGGGAGGAGAAGGGGAUAUGGAGAAAAGGAUUGAGGGGUGCAGAAUCAAAGCAAGUUUUCUAGGAAGCAGAACUGACUGUGGAUAUCUGUGUCUGAUAUCUAAAGUUGUGCCCA